rnacentral:ncRNA from 1 species
UUGAAAACUUUGACUGGAAGUAGUAAGGAAUAUCUAUUGUGAAGAGAGCUGUUGGUUGAUGCAAAACAGUCAAUAAAUUCCUGAACUCAUCCAGGAAUAUUUAUGCUGAACUCAAGUAAGCAUAAACGGCAGCUACCGUUAUAGUAUAAGUGGGUUAGUUAUUCAAUUAACCAAUUAGAGUGGUACCACGAAUUAAACUUCGUUUCUUUA